rnacentral:rRNA from 1 species
AUGAUUUAUACUUCGGGUGGGGAUUAGUGGCGAACGGGUGAGUAACACGUGGGCAAUCUGCCCUGCACUCUGGGACAAGCCCUGGAAACGGGGUCUAAUACCGGAUACUGACCUGCCAAGGCAUCUUGGCGGGUCGAAAGCUCCGGCGGUGCAGGAUGAGCCCGCGGCCUAUCAGCUUGUUGGUGAGGUAAUGGCUCACCAAGGCGACGACGGGUAGCCGGCCUGAGAGGGCGACCGGCCACACUGGGACUGAGACACGGCCCAGACUCCUACGGGAGGCAGCAGUGGGGAAUAUUGCACAAUGGGCGAAAGCCUGAUGCAGCGACGCCGCGUGAGGGAUGACGGCCUUCGGGUUGUAAACCUCUUUCAGCAGGGAAGAAGCGAAAGUGACGGUACCUGCAGAAGAAGCGCCGGCUAACUACGUGCCAGCAGCCGCGGUAAUACGUAGGGCGCAAGCGUUGUCCGGAAUUAUUGGGCGUAAAGAGCUCGUAGGCGGCUUGUCGCGUCGGUUGUGAAAGCCCGGGGCUUAACCCCGGGUCUGCAGUCGAUACGGGCAGGCUAGAGUUCGGUAGGGGAGAUCGGAAUUCCUGGUGUAGCGGUGAAAUGCGCAGAUAUCAGGAGGAACACCGGUGGCGAAGGCGGAUCUCUGGGCCGAUACUGACGCUGAGGAGCGAAAGCGUGGGGAGCGAACAGGAUUAGAUACCCUGGUAGUCCACGCCGUAAACGGUGGGCACUAGGUGUGGGCAACAUUCCACGUUGUCCGUGCCGCAGCUAACGCAUUAAGUGCCCCGCCUGGGGAGUACGGCCGCAAGGCUAAACUCAAGGAAUUGACGGGGGGCCCGCACAAGC